CUUUAAAACAGUUGCUUAGUUUCUGUUUUUCAUUGUUCAAGAAAAUUAGGUUUACAUUGGUGUAAAUUUGUUUAGCUAGUCAUCCCUUUUACCUGCCUUCUCCUCACUCUCCAAUAAAAUAAAUUAAUAGAAAAAUGGUGCUAGUGGAAAAGUGUCCUAGCAAACAAAAUUUAAACUCCUAUUUAAAUAAUAGCCUACCUAGACAGUUUGUAUCUUAAUUUUGGACAUAUUUUGUUGAAUUUUUAACACCAUUACACCUGAUAGUUUGUCACUUCCCACUACUCUGUGUCAUUAACAAAGCCAAACAGUGAACAAGUUCAAGAAAUCAAUGAAUUUAGACCUGAGUUAGACCUUAGGGGGUCAUCUAAUUCAGUAGUGGAAAACUCAGAUAGCAAGGGGGCCUAUUAACUCUAUGCAAUAAGGAUCUAUGCAAUAGCAUAUUAAGUUAGAAAACCACACAUUAACAUUCCCUGUGUUUUAUUGUAUUUUUCUUCAUUUUUUUCAACAUUUCUCAAUUACAUUUAACUUGAUUUAGUUCAAACUCCAGGGGCCACCAGCUGGAUGCUUUACAACUCUUUACAAUCAAUUCUGGUCCAACUCUUCAGUGAAAAAUGGAGGCAGUAAUAGUACCUACCUCCUAGCAUUAUCAUGAAGAUAAAAUGAGAGAAUUGUAAAAUAUUUUGCACAGCAUCUGGCACAUUGUAAACCCUGUAGAAAUGUAAGCUAUGAUGGAGAUCCAGGCCUAGAGAAGGAAGGUUUUAGAUUCAAAUGUAGCCUUAGAUACUUCAUAGCUGUGUGAGCCUGGGCAAGUCCUUAACUUCCAUUGCCUAGCCCUUGUUGCUGUUCUGCCUUGGAACCAAAACGCAGUCCUGAUUCUAGAGAAGGUAUAAUACUAGGAGAAGAAAAGUGAAUAGAACCAGUGUACCACUAAAGACUUAUUACGCCUUUUGUUUCUGCUGGGGUUUAGAGGCAUUUCCAGCAGCCUUUUGAAUCCUCGAGGUACAUCCAAGAAAGAUUUGAGGCCAUUAAUCAGAAGCGCCUACGUGCAGGGGAAUCCAGUGGAGCAUAAAUCCUGCAGGCGAACGUUCAAUUUCAGCGAGAGGUAAAGCUCUUUGAGGUUGAUCUGGAAUUGGGUGGGACCACUAAUGACUCAGAAAGGUACUGAAAACAGGGCUCAGCUUAAAAAAAAAAAUCCUGC
rnacentral:lncRNA from 1 species